rnacentral:rRNA from 1 species
UCCAUCCUACGGGACGCAGCAGUAGGGAAUUUUCGUCAAUGGGCGCAAGCCUGAACGAGCACUGCCGCGUGAACGAGGAAGGUCUUCGGAUCGUAAAGUUCUGUUGAAGGGGAAAAAGAGCGGAAAGAGGAAAUGAGCUCCGAUUGAUAUUACCCUUCGAGGAAGUCACGGCUAACUACGUGCCAGCAGCCGCGGUAAUACGUAGGUGGCGAGCGUUAUCCGGAAUGAUUGGGCGUAAAGGGUGCGUAGGCGGCCUGCUAAGUCUGGAGUGAAAGGUACCGGCUCAACCGGUACAGGCUCUGGAA